GAGUUUGAUCGUGGCUCAGGAUGAACGCUGGCGGCGUGCUUAACACAUGCAAGUCGAACGGAAUGGCCCUUGCUUGCAAGGGUGCUCGAGUGGCGAACGGGUGAGUAACACGUAGGUGAUCUGCCUUUCACUUCGGGAUAAGCUUGGGAAACUGGGUCUAAUACCGGAUAUUCACGGCACCGUGGUUGGUGUGGUGGAAAGCUUUUGCGGUGGGAGAUGAGCUUGCGGCCUAUCAGCUUGUUGGUGGGGUAAUGGCCUACCAAGGCGGCGACGGGUAGCCGGCCUGAGAGGGUGUGCGGCCACAUUGGGACUGAGAUACGGCCCAGACUCCUACGGGAGGCAGCAGUGGGGAAUUUUGCACAAUGGGCGGAAGCCUGAUGCAGCGACGCCGUGUGGGGGAUGGAGGCCUCGGUUGUAAACUCUUUCGUCUAGGACGAAGUUUGUUUGUACGGUACCUGGAUAAGAAGCACCGGCUAACUACGUGCCAGCAGCAGCCGCAGUAAG
rnacentral:rRNA from 1 species